AGCUUCCUUAACCUAUAAAUUAUAUGACACUUAUAUAGUGUCAUUUUGGAUUUAAAAAGAGUCUUUUGAUAAGUUUCUUUUCUUUUCUUUUCUUUUCUUUUUUUUUUGCUAACCUUCUUUUAAGUAGGAUAAUGCUUGAGUUCAUAUAAAUCUACUGAAAAAUUCCAAGUGAAUUGAAAAAUAAAUAAAAUUAGUUUAAAUUUAGAUUUUAUUAAGGAAAAUAUGUGUGGUAAAAAUUCAAAAAUAAUGGCUAAAAGAAUAGAAACAGCAUGUAUUAAUCC
rnacentral:lncRNA from 1 species